CCGGCACGGGUGAGUAACACGUAUGCAAUCCACCUGUAACAGGGGGAGUAACCCGGAGAAAUCCGGACUAAUACCCCAUAAUAUGGGCGCUCCGCAUGGAGAGCCCAUUAAAGAGAGCAAUUUUUGGUUUACAGACGAGCAUGCGCUCCAUUAGCCAGUUGGCGGGGUAACGGCCCACCAAAGCGACGAUGGAUAGGGGUUCUGAGAGGAAGGUCCCCCACAUUGGAACUGAGACACGGUCCAA
rnacentral:rRNA from 1 species